GUAGGGAAUAUUGGGCAAUGGUCGGAAGACUGACCCAGCCAUGCCGCGUGCAGGAAGACGGCCCUCUGGGUUGUAAACUGCUUUUAUCUGGGAAGAAAAAGGCCAUGCGUGGCAAAUUGCCGGUACCAGAUGAAUAAGCACCGGCUAACUCCGUGCCAGCAGCCGCGGUAAUACGGAGGGUGGGAGCGUUGUCCGGAUUUAUUGGGUUUAAAGGGUGCGUAGGCGGCUGAUUAAGUCAGCGGUGAAAGACUUCGGCUUAACCGGAGCAGUGCCGUUGAUACUGGUUGGCUUGAGUGUCGGAGGGGUACAUGGAAUUGAUGGUGUAGCGGUGAAAUGCAUAGAUACCAUCAGGAACACCGAUAGCGAAGGCAUUGUACUGGCCGACAACUGACGCUGAUGCACGAAAGUGUGGGGAUCGAACAGGAUUAGAUACCCCGGUAGUCC
rnacentral:rRNA from 1 species